rnacentral:rRNA from 1 species
CCUACGGGAGGCAGCAGUGAGGAAUAUUGGUCAAUGGACGAGAGUCUGAACCAGCCAAGUAGCGUGAAGGAUGACUGCCCUAUGGGUUGUAAACUUCUUUUAUAUGGGAAUAAAACAGGGUAUGCAUACCCUCUUUUAUGUACCAUAUGAAUAAGGAUCGGCUAACUCCGUGCCAGCAGCCGCGGUAAUACGGAGGAUCCGAGCGUUAUCCGGAUUUAUUGGGUUUAAAGGGAGCGUAGGUGGAUUGUUAAGUCAGUUGUGAAAGUUUGCGGCUCAACCGUAAAAUUGCAGUUGAAACUGGCAGUCUUGAGUACAGUAGAGGUGGGCGGAAUUCGUGGUGUAGCGGUGAAAUGCUUAGAUAUCACGAAGAACUCCGAUUGCGAAGGCAGCUCACUGGACUGCAACUGACACUGAUGCUCGAAAGUGUGGGUAUCAAACAGGAUUAGAUACCCCAGUAGUC